AUCUGUUAAACCAAAAUAUGCAUAGAUUAGCAUUCAAUCAAGUUGGCUUCAUCAAAGUUUUUGUCCCUAGAAUUACUCCACAGUAAGAGAUCCUCUUAUGGGGAACACAUACGAAUACAAGAUAUAAAAAAUAAGAUGAGUCAAAUGUGAAUACCAUUUUUGAACAUAGCUUUAAACCAAAUAUGAAUAUCAUCUCUAAACAUACCUGUGAAUCAAAUGUGAAUGCCAUUUCUGAACAUACUUUAAACCAAAUAUGAAUAUCAUCUUUAAACAUACCUAUAAACGAAAUAAAUAAGCACUACUUAAAGAUGUAAUAUUAUUACCUUAAAAAAAUAUUCGGAUUUGUAUGCGGUUGCUAAAUAAGCAGCAGUAUUUGCCUCGACUACAUCAUCUGUAGCUAGUUAUAUCCUAACUCUUAGUAUGGUCCAUUCUCAUAACCUUCAUCUUCCACAACUUCUUCUGUAUAUACAAAUCUCUUAGCUUUAGGUUUACUAAAAAUACUCCAUCCUUAAUUGAAAACAUCAUCACAUAGUACACCAUAUUUAUGCUUGAGAUACUUAGAUGUAAGGCUCAUGUAGUCACCCUCAAUCUCGAGUUAUUAUAUAAAAAGUCGGAGUUUAUUUUCUUUUUCCAAAUAAAUAAAACAUCAGUAGCAUACAAAUAAUUUACUUGCCUAAUGAUCUUUAUAUGCUAGAAUUAUUCAAAUUUGAAGGAAUAUAUAAAAUAUGUUCAAAAACUUAUGCGAGUCGUCGAUUACAACAAAAUGAGUCAACUUACCUGAUAGCGGAUUUGAAAUUACACCAUGUCCAGUACUCUUAGAAACAUGCACAUCUGCAAUAAUGAUAUAAUGCAAGAUAUUUUACUAAAGGAAAUUUUCAUUUGAAGUAAUUCAUUUUCUAAGGAAAGUGAAGAACUAAACUACUAAAGUAUGAGCUAGAGAAGGAAAAAUUUGUCACCAUAAUAAGUAAAAGAGAAGCAUUCAUUAAAGACCAUGUACUGUCUUGAUAUUCCUGAAUAUGGAAAUGAGAAAAAUGUUAGGAAGUCCCUGACUGAAUAAUCCGCUUUAUGUUCUCCCAUCAGCGCCGGCUCUAACGUGAUGAGGGGUAAGGCAUAGGCCUUAGGCCUGCAAAUAUUGGGGUGGGGGGCAUUUUUUAAAAAGAAUAGGCUUAUAGGUAUUUUAAAAAUGAUAUUUAGUACUUCUAAUAAAAAAUUAAAGUUGUUAAUAUAAGAGAAAAUAGAGCUCUUUUAGAUAUGUAAAUAAAGUAAUAAUUUGACAUAUUCAAAAUGAAUUGAUGUACAGUUUUCUCAACGUUUUAGUUUUACUCCUUUAUUAGAUAAUGUAUAAAAAAAUUCACUCUCCCUUUCUUAAUAUGUCCAAGUCAAUCUUUCUUUUCUCCAAUAUAAUUAUAUUUCAGAAACUCCUAUAUAUUUUCUGUCUUUCUCUUUAAUAUUCUUACUCAGUUGCUUUCUCCGAUAUUUCAUUACUCACUUUCUUUCUACAAGAUUUCAUUAUCUUCACUGUUUAACAAUAUUUUUAAGCUUCCAAUAAUUAUAUACUUCUAUUUCUCUAUAAAGUAUUAUCUAAUGUCAACAAUAUCUCAAGAAAGAUUAAAUGAGCUGGCUAUAUUAUCAAUUGAAUAAAGAUACUUAGAGAAAGUAUAAAUUAUUAACAACUUUGUAUUACAAAAAAUUAUAAGAACAUAUUUCAAAUAAAAAUGUAUACUAUAAAUUUCUUUUAAAUUUUUAGGCCUCAUAUUAAACUUUGGCCUUAGGCUCCGUAUAUCCUUGAGCGGAGCCCAUGUCUCACAUAUUAUAUUAAUUUGUGGGUCAAUCAAUUUCAACAUCAUACAAUAGAGGUAUUAAACAGAUAAUAUGGAGGGGACAUGUUGUGGGGUGUAACAGUUCAAGUAUAUAACCAACGAACAAAGAAAUGGAACUGAAUAAUUAACAUCAAUAAAAGAGAGCCAGUAAAUCGACAAUUGCACGGCACCAACCUUCGUGCUUUUACUCUCAAUUCUCACCAAAACUGUCAAAUAUAGAGCACGACAUCACCCUUCGUGCUUUCCUCACAUACUCUCACAUCAAGGCACGGAAUGAUCCUUCGUGCUCAAAUAAUAAAGAAACAUGGUACGGAAAGACCCUUCGUGCAUAAUUAUCAAGACAUGGCACGGAAAGACCAUUCGUGCAUAAUUAUCAAAACAUGGCACGGAAAGACCCUUCGUGUCGUGCUCAAAUAAUCAAGAAACAUGGAACGGAAAGGCCCUUCAUGCAUAAUUAUCAAAACACGGCACGGAAAAGCCCUUCGUGUACAAUCUCUCUUCCUCACCCAAUCACCGGUCACAACCAAUCGGGAAAACGAAUAUGCAACAAGAUUAAACAUCCCGGCAACGGAGAACAAUUCAACAAUAAGUCUCGGCAAGGGAAAACGAAUCAACAACAAGUUCGGCAAGGGAAAGAUACCACACUUCCUUCUUUAACUCAUUCGCUUCUCAACUAUCACUUUGUAAUUCAUUUAACAAGUAAUUAACUCAAUUGUUUCGCCUCUUUCGAAUUUAAAAGCAACUACGACUCACGGUCAUGCUAGAAUCGGGCGCAUAGGUAACCGUCAUCAUACCUAUACACCGACUCCAUAUAGCACAUAGCAAAUAUUGUACUAAUCUUAUUUCCUCAAACCAAAGUUAAAACAAACACUUACCUCGAAAGCUCUAAACUCAACUCACGCCUCUAGGAUAGUUUUACCCCUCGAAUUUGCCACAAAAUCGGUCGAAUCUAAUCAAAAUUUACUCAAAUGUAUCAACAAAUGCUAGUUAAAACAAUUUGAAUGCAUAAGAAUGAAUUUCCCAAAGUUUUACCUAAAAUUUCCCAAAGUGCCCCGGGGCCCACAUGGUAAAAACCGGGGUUCAAACUAAAAUCAGGUUAUCCAUUCCCCCACGAGUUCAUAUAUGUAAUUUGUUUUGAAUUCGGACCUAAACUGAGGUCCAAAUCCCUCAUUUUAAGAAAAUCUAGGUUCUACCCCAAGUCCCCAUUUUUACCCAUUAAAAGCUUUGAUUUUAAGAUGAAAUCAUGAUAAAACAUGUUAAAGAUUAAAGAAAUUGAGUGAAAGUUGACUUACAAUUGAUUUGGGAAAGAAUGAAUUAAGAGAAAAUCAACAAUGGAGGUUUGAGUUUUGAAAAUGUGAAGAAUGAAGUUUAAAACCGUCUAAGUAUAGAAUGCACAAGUGCAGAUAUAGCAAUUGCGAAGAUUUGUUCGCAAUUGCGAACUUAGCAGAAGAAAGGCGGAUCUCGCAAUUGCGAGAAAAUGUUCACAAUUGCGAACAAGACAGAAUUUGGGCAGAACUCGCAUUUGCGAGGGAAAGUUCGCAUUUGCAAAAUCAUGACUUAAGCUGGGCAAUCGCAUUUGCGAAGACCGGGCUGGUAGGAAGGGGAUCGCAUUUGCGAGUUUUUCUUCACAUUUGCGAGUUUUUCUUCGCAUUUGCGAUAAGAGCAGGCCAGGGGGGAUCUCGUAUUUGCGAGGGUGGCUUCGCAAAUGCAAAGCCCGCAGAUACCAACUGCUCCAACGUAACAAAAUGAACCUAACACCUAUCCAAAACUCACCUGAGCCCUCGGAGCUCCAACCCAAAUAUGCACACAACCUCAAAAAUAUCCUACGGACUUACUCGUGCGAUCAAAUCGAGACAACCAAAUAAAAGGUUUUCAAAGUCUCAUAAGCACAAAAAAAGAAAAAAUUACGGUGAUAACUCCUUUGGGUCAUCAUACUAAUGGUCUUCCCUCGAAUGUCAACACUCUUUAAAAAAGAGAAUAAAUUUCAAGCUAGAUUGUCCAUAAUGGUUUCAUUACUGGUUCAAGCAAUAACUAAAACUGAAAACCCAAAUUCUACUAUUACUGAGAUAAAGAAAAUAAAUAUUAAAAAAAAAGGAAAAGAAAAAAAAUCACCUUUAGAUGAGCAAUGACAUUCUGAAGUUGAUUCGCCCAAAUGGAUACUUCACUUCAGAAAUUCCCAAGACUUAAUAAAUACCAUAAAUCGUAUUCCUAGCCUGAAAACACCUUAAAAAAACUACUUAAAUUGAAACAAUGGAGCAAGACAAAAGACAUAAUCCGUGAUUCAAAAAUCAGAGCAGGAGCCAUAAAUUAGAGAAGAAGAAUAAUACUUACAAAAUGUAACUAAUAUGGACAGAAAAAUGAGAGAAAACGCAUCUGAAGGGAAGCACUCCACUAGAGAAGAAGCAGCUCAGCCGAAGGGUUGAAAAGGGAAAACCUAGGGCUAGAGGCAUAAUGGAAUUAAAAGAGGGAAAGAUUCGGAAAAUAUUUUGUAAAAGGAGGGAGAACUU
rnacentral:lncRNA from 1 species